rnacentral:rRNA from 1 species
CCUACGUGAGGCAGCAGUGAGGAAUAUUGGUCAAUGGACGAGAGUCUGAACCAGCCAAGUAGCGUGAAGGAUGACUGCCCUAUGGGUUGUAAACUUCUUUUAUAUGGGAAUAAAAUGUUCCACGUGUGGGAUUUUGUAUGUACCAUAUGAAUAAGGAUCGGCUAACUCCGGGCCAGCAGCCGCGGUAAUACGGAGGAUCCGAGCGUUAUCCGGAUGUAUUGGGUUUCACGGGAGCGGAGGUGGAUUGUUAAGUCAGUUGUGAAAGGUUGCGGCUCAACAGUAAAAGUGCAGUGGAAACUGGGAGUCGUGAGUACAGUAGAGGUGAGCGGAAUUCGUGGUGGAGCGGUGAAAUGCGUAGAUAUCACGAAGAACUCCGGUUGCGAAGGCAGCUCACUGGACUGCAACUGACACUGAGGCUCGAAAGUGUGGGUAUCAAACAGGAUGAGAGACCCCGGUAGUC